UGAAAGAUGCAGAUGCACUUUGUAUGGACACACAGAUUCUGUGAACAGCAUCGAGUUUUUUCCUUUUUCCAACACACUUCUCACAGCUUCUGCAGAUAAGUCCCUGUCUGUAUGGGAUGCAAGAACGGGCAAAUGUGAGCAGUCGCUCUAUGGUCACAUGCAUUCUGUCAACGAUGCCACCUUCACUCCUAGGGGUUACAUGAUAGCAUCCUGUGACGCCUGUGGAGUAGUAAAACUGUGGGAUUUUCGGAAGCUCUUACCAAUUGUGUCCAUCGAUGUAGGUCCAAGUCCUAGCAAUGAGGUGAAUUUCGACUCAUCAGGUAGG